rnacentral:rRNA from 1 species
UACGGAGGGUGCGAGCGUUGUUCGGAAUCACUGGGCGUAAAGCGCGUGUAGGCGGUCUACUAAGUCUGAUGUGAAAGCCCGGGGCUCACCCUCGGAAGUGCAUUGGAAACUGGCAGACUGGAGUCCCGGAGAGGAGGGUUGAAAUCCUGGUGUAGCGGUGAAAUGGGUAGAUAUCAGGAGGAACACCGGUGGCGAAGGCGGCCCUCUGGACGGUGGCUGACGCUGAGACGCGAAAGCGUGGGGAGCAAACAGG